CUAUUACUCCCUCCGUCCAACAAAAGAUGUCUCAAAUUUUGACAAAUUUGAAUGUAUCUAGACAUGACUUGGUAUACUGCAUUCAGAUUUAGUAAAAGUUGAGACACCCUUUGUUGGAUGGAGGGAGUGAUAA
rfam:Brachypodium distachyon strain Bd21 chromosome 1, whole genome shotgun sequence.